UACGUAGGGUGCAAGCGUUAAUCGGAAUUACUGGGCGUAAAGCGUGCGCAGGCGGUUGUGCAAGACAGAUGUGAAAUCCCCCGGGCUCAACCUGGGAAUUGCAUUUGUGACUGUACGGCUAGAGUGUGUCAGAGGGGGGUAGAAUUCCACGGUGUAGCAGUGAAAUGCGUAGAGAUGUGGAGGAAUACCGAUGGCGAAGGCAGCCCCCUGGGCCAAUACUGACGCUCAUGCACGAAAGCGUGGGGAGCAAACAGG
rnacentral:rRNA from 1 species